ensembl:lncRNA
CAAAUAACCCCAGAAUAGAGGUAGCUCCCUUAACUCCAAUGCAAGCAGCUGUAUUACACUUGCAAUAGUUUAAUAGUGUACAAAUUGUUGCUACAGUGCAGAUAAAGGUAAUUUCUGACCGUCAAUGGAUCCAGCUGGAUUAAUACUUUCCUCGGUUAUUUACUAAGCAGCAAUUUCAGGCUCGAGGCCUGAGACAAAAAAGCAUUCGACCAACAUCAGCACAACACCACAAGAAUUCACCUCUUUCAAGAGCCCUUAAUGUACUGCAGGGUCCGCCCGAAGAGUUUAGGGUGAAGACUGAUGUCAGCACAUCUGGUCCAUCUUUCGUACCAUAUUCAAAAGGCACCUCCCGUUCUUCUGGAGCGUCCUGUCCAGCACAUUCCCAUCAACCAUCGCCAGUCAGCUUUCCCUUCAAGCCACUUCGGCAAAACGUUUCCUCCCUCCGGCGUCGUGACAACUCCCCCGUCUGCGCCUCACGCAUCCACGUUUCCCUGCUGAACGCGCUCCACCUGACAGUAGCGAGGAGGCUGCUCCCAGCUCCACGUGCAGUCCGGGGCCUCCGAGGCGUCUUGGCUGUAGAGAGGAGGAGCGAGGCCCAGCGCCACAUGCGCCCCGUCCACCACCACCGCCACCUCAAACUCGGGCGCCGCAUCGGGACUCGGCUGGCUGGCCUGGGACUCCUCGUACGACGGAGGGAAGGAGCUUCUGCAGAGUGUAGAUCUGCAGGUGCUGCUCGCGUCCUCCGCUCUGGUACAUCUUGCUCUUCAUGCUGUGGCAAAUGUUCCAGAAGACUCCGGUGAGCACAAGCAGGAUGCCGAACACCACCGUGCCAUAGGCAGAGACGACCCUCAAAGUGUACCUGUGGUCCGUCUGAAGGGACACAACGUAGGCCCCGAUGCAGGUGAUCGCAAAUCCCGCCCCGGGCACCACCAUGCGCGCCAGAGACCACAGCUGCUUCCUCACAUUCAUGAUCAAAUAACUCACGUGUUGUUUCUUUACUGGAGUUUUCAAAUGUCCGUAAUUCUUUUUUUUUUCCCAGUAGAAUGAUAGAGAGGCGAUUUUUUAAUUUUUGACCUGCUUUAACAUAAAUAAAUCCUCCAGCCAGGUUUGAGUACCAGCGAGUGUUGCUGCAGUUGAAGGUGUGUGUGUGUGUGUGUGUGUGUGUGUCUUCAGACGUUGGGGGAGGUGGCUGGGUUGUUCCUGCCUCCUCGGUUUUAUAUUCACUCUGGCUGAUAGUUUUUUGGCAACGCGAUGGUCAUACAUUUCGGAAGGCAGUCAGUAUGUUUUAAACCUGUGAUAUUUCGUUGUUAACUGUGAUAACCGAUAAGCAGAUCAUUUAGUCUAAUUGCCUUUCAUCUGUUUUAAUGACAGGUGAUAGUGUGUUGACAUCAUGCAAGGCUGAUCAAACACCCGGUGGAGUUAGCAGGCGGCCACAUUAUCCCUUGCACCGUGCACUAUGACCCCCGGUGUGGUUUUUAAGUGUAACCACUCUCCACCGAGUUGCAUGCUCGGUAUCAAGCCUGCGUAUACGGUUUUAUGCAAACAAGCAAAACAGAAAGGACCUAGUUAUGUUUUACUCUAACAUAACAUAAUUGUUAGAUUAUGUCAUGCACUAGAUGGUGCAAUGUAACAUGCAUAGUGCAAUAUGACAUGCAAUGUCACAACUAGACGUAGAACUCACAGACACUUUAGAACUCACAGAUUGUUUUACUGAUUAUCAAACCAAUGGAAAUACUAUGCGUGUUCAAACUAUACAAAAAGAACAAAAAUACCGUUCCAAUAGAUUUCAAGCAAGUUAAGUUAAUGGUAAUUUAUGUUCAAAUUUACUUUGUCACCACAUC